rnacentral:rRNA from 1 species
GACCCCAGGUCAGGCGGGAUCACCCGCUGAGUUUAAGCAUAUC